CAGCCGCCGCGGUAACACCAGCCCCUCGAGUGGUGGGGACUAUUAUUUGGCCUAAAGCGUCCGUAGCUGGCUGUAUCCGUCUCCCGGUAAAUCCGGCGUCCUAAGCGUCGGUUCUCGGGUGAUACCAUACAGCUAGAGGGUGGGAUAGGUGAGCGGUAAUUCUGGGGUAGGGGCGAAAUCCUUUGAUCCCAGGAGGACCACCAGUGGCGAAGGCUGCUCACUAGAACACGCCUGACGGUCAGGGACGAAAGCUGGGGCAGCGAACCGGAUUAGAUACCCGGGUAGUCCCAGCUGUAAACGAUGCUAGCUAGGUGUUGGGUCGGCCACGCGCCGCCCCAGUGCCGCAGGGAAGCCGUUAAGCGUGCCGCCUGGGGAGUACGGCCGCAAGGCUGAAACUUAAAGGAAUUGGCGGGGGAGCAC
rnacentral:rRNA from 1 species